rnacentral:rRNA from 1 species
UACGUAGGGUGCAAGCGUUAUCCGGAAUUAUUGGGCGUAAAGAGCUCGUAGGCGGUUUGUCGCGUCUGCUGUGAAAACUGGGGGCUCAACCCCCAGCCUGCAGUGGGUACGGGCAAACUAGAGUGCGGUAGGGGAGAUUGGAAUUCCUGGUGUAGCGGUGGAAUGCGCAGAUAUCAGGAGGAACACCGAUGGCGAAGGCAGAUCUCUGGGCCGUGAACUGACGCUGAGGAGCGAAAGCAUGGGGAGCGAACAGG